rnacentral:lncRNA from 1 species
AGGGGAACAACACAUUGCUCUUCUCUAUCUUUUGCUGAGACAUCUCUCCAACAUCAGUUUAUAUUGAAAACUGGUUCCAUGUUUAGGCCAACGCACUAGAAUACAUGGCAGAGUAAACAUUUUACCAUACAAGUUAACACGGCAGAUGAGUUAGGCAUUGGAAACAGAUCACACAGACCCUUCAAACACAAUCUAGUAAAUCCUGCUGCCAGCCUGCAGUCCUGUGCUUGUCAUCCCUUCUUCAGCUUCAGCAUCACAAUGGCAGGCAAUAAUAGAGCCAAUGUCAGAACACAGCACCCCACAGAGAGGAGAGCUCCCCAGAGGUUGAGUAAAAGAAGGAUGUACGUCAAUGUCUUGGCAAGAUGUGCUAUAGAGAAUGGCAAGUGUGGGACAGAUGUGCAAGUAGGCAUCUGGAUGAGGAAGUUGUGAAUGUGGGACUGAAGUAGAAGUGAGCACCCAGAGAUCAGGGAGCAAGUGUUAUACUUCCAUAACAAUAAAAAGGAUUGCAGUUGGUUAGCACUUUACCUCUCAUCGUGCACUGUGACAUAUAUUGCCAACUUGGACCCCCACGGUGAGAACAGUUAACUCUUGUGGAUAUGAUAAAGUGGUCACAGUCUGUAAUCAAG